rnacentral:rRNA from 1 species
UACGUAGGGCGCAAGCGUUAUCCGGAAUUAUUGGGCGUAAAGAGCUCGUAGGCGGUUUGUCGCGUCUGCCGUGAAAGUCCGGGGCUCAACUCCGGAUCUGCGGUGGGUACGGGCAGACUAGAGUGAUGUAGGGGAGACUGGAAUUCCUGGUGUAGCGGUGAAAUGCGCAGAUAUCAGGAGGAACACCGAUGGCGAAGACGGGUCUCUGGGCCGAUACUGACGCUGAGGAGCGAAAGCGUGGGGAGCGAACAGG